AUACGUAGGUGGCAAGCGUUGUCCGGAUUUACUGGGUGUAAAGGGCGAGUAGGCGGGACUGCAAGUCAGGUGUGAAAUGCGGAGGCUCAACCUCCGACUUGCAUUUGAAACUGUGGUUCUUGAGUGAUGGAGAGGCAGGCGGAAUUCCCGGUGUAGCGGUGGAAUGCGUAGAUAUUAGGAGGAACACCAGUGGCGAAGGCGGCUUACUGGACUGUAACUGACGUUGAGGCUCGAAAGCGUGGGGAGC
rnacentral:rRNA from 1 species